AGAGUUUGAUCCUGGCUCAGGACGAACGCUGGCGGCGUGCUUAACACAUGCAAGUCGAACGGAAAGGCCCUUCGGGGUACUCGAGUGGCGAACGGGUGAGUAACACGUGGGUGAUCUGCCCUGCACUCUGGGAUAAGCCUGGGAAACUGGGUCUAAUACCGGAUAGGACCACACACUUCAUGGUGAGUGGUGCAAAGCUUUUGCGGUGUGGGAUGAGCCCGCGGCCUAUCAGCUUGUUGGUGGGGUAAUGGCCCACCAAGGCGACGACGGGUAGCCGGCCUGAGAGGGUGACCGGCCACACUGGGACUGAGAUACGGCCCAGACUCCUACGGGAGGCAGCAGUGGGGAAUAUUGCACAAUGGACGCAAGCCUGAUGCAGCGACGCCGCGUGAGGGAUGACGGCCUUCGGGUUGUAAACCUCUUUCAGUAGGGACGAAGCGAAAGUGACGGUACCUACAGAAGAAGGACCGGCCAACUACGUGCCAGCAGCCGCGGUAAUACGUAGGGUCCGAGCGUUGUCCGGAAUUACUGGGCGUAAAGAGCUCGUAGGUGGUUUGUCGCGUUGUUCGUGAAAACUCACAGCUUAACUGUGGGCGUGCGGGCGAUACGGGCAGACUAGAGUACUGCAGGGGAGACUGGAAUUCCUGGUGUAGCGGUGGAAUGCGCAGAUAUCAGGAGGAACACCGGUGGCGAAGGCGGGUCUCUGGGCAGUAACUGACGCUGAGGAGCGAAAGCGUGGGUAGCGAACAGGAUUAGAUACCCUGGUAGUCCAA
rnacentral:rRNA from 1 species